ACGCUGAAGCCUAGCUUGCUGGGUGGAUGAGUGGCGAACGGGUGAGUAACACGUGAGUAACCUGCCCUCUUCUUUGGGAUAACGCCCGGAAACGGGUGCUAAUACUGGAUAUUCACUGAUCUUCGCAUGGGGGUUGGUGGAAAGGUUUUUUCUGGUGGGGGAUGGGCUCGCGGCCUAUCAGCUUGUUGGUGGGGUGAUGGCCUACCAAGGCUUUGACGGGUAGCCGGCCUGAGAGGGUGACCGGUCACAUUGGGACUGAGAUACGGCCCAGACUCCUACGGGAGGCAGCAGUGGGGAAUAUUGCACAAUGGGCGAAAGCUGAUGCAGCGACGCCGCGUGAGGGAUGGAGGCCUUCGGGUUGUAAACCUCUUUCGCUCAUGGUCAAGCCGCAACUGUGGGUUGUGGUGAGGGUAGUGGGUAAAGAAGCGCCGGCUAACUACGUGCCAACAGCCGCGGUAAUACGUAGGGCGCGAGCGUUGUCCGGAAUUAUUGGGCGUAAAGGGCUUGUAGGCGGUUGGUCGCUUCUGCCGUGAAAUCCUCUGGCUUAACUGGGGGCGUGCGGUGGGUACGGGCUGACUUGAGUGCGGUAGGGGAGACUGGAACUCCUGGUGUAGCGGUGGAAUGCGCAGAUAUCAGGAAGAACACCGGUGGCGAAGGCGGGUCUCUGGGCCGUUACUGACGCUGAGGAGCGAAAGCGUGGGGAGCGAACAGGAUUAGAUACCCUGGUAGUCCACGCUGUAAACGUUGGGCACUAGGUGUGGGGGCCACCCGUGGUUUCUGCGCC
rnacentral:rRNA from 1 species